AAUCAACGCUGGCGGCGUGCCUAACACAUGCAAGUCGAACGAGAAAGUGGAGCAAUCCAUGAGUAAAGUGGCGCACGGGUGAGUAACACGUGACUAACCUACCCUUGAGUGGGGGAUAACCUAGGGAAACCUGGGCUAAUACCGCAUAAUACCUACGGGUCAAAGGAGCAAUUCGCUUUAGGAGGGGGUCGCGGCAGAUUAGUUAGUUGGCGGGGUAAUGGCCCACCAAGACGAUGAUCNGUAUCCGGCCUGAGAGGGCGCACGGACACACUGGAACUGAAACACGGUCCAGACUCCUACGGGAGGCAGCAGUGGGGAAUUUUGCGCAAUGGGGGAAACCCUGACGCAGCAACGCCGCGUGGAGGAUGAAGACCCUUGGGUCGUAAACUCCUUUCGA
rnacentral:rRNA from 1 species